rnacentral:lncRNA from 1 species
AAAGAAUGGAAGAUGUUCUAUUUUUCCUUAUGAUAUGUCUUAGCUACAACAAUCAACACAAACAUUAUUAUUCACAUGGUUAUUUAUGAAAAACAUAUAUUGUCAUUGGAAUUUUUCACCCGUUGCAGCACACGGGCAGUUUUGCUAGUCUGAUCUAAAAAGAAAGAGCCAUGCUCAGUGCCACCAACUGAUUAGUACAUGCUUGCUUACUGAUCACAAACAAUGGAAAAUCUCAUAAAAUAGCAGCACUGAAGUCACCAAAACUGAAAGAAAAACUGCAUCCACAGUAGUUCUCAUUGAGCAGGACAUCCGCUCCUCAUCCACGGUCAAGCGCCAUCCUUCGUUCUGCAAAAAUGAGUAAAAAAAUCAACAUUAUAUAGCAAAAAACUAAAUAUGACUCAAGUCAAUAGUACAUCUCAGUUCCGCAACCAGGAUCUCAAGCACAAAACAAUACUACCCUAGUUAGUUCCCUUCCUAUUCAAUCAUCAUUGGAGGCACUGAGUUCAGCUAAUCCAAUUAUAUGAAUUCAGGGUAAGAGCUGCCUACAUGUGCAUCAAAGGGAAGUGCUAUCAAUAAUAUGUUUAACACAAAUGUACCAUGUUUCACCCACGAUGACUCAAAAUGAUGUAAUUAAUUAAGCAUUGACUAAUCACAAGUUUGGAUAAGGUUAUGUUAUCCUUAUUGUAACAUUGUAUUGUAUAAUGAGCUUUGAAGGAGAAUUUUAUCUCCUGACCUAGUAGUAAUAAAUAAAUAAAUUAUGGCAAGAUUAAACCAAAAUAUACAUCCAUACAUGCCAAAAAGAAAAUCAAACUUUAAAGAUUCCUAGACUCGUAGCAUCUGAUCAGUGAUGAUCUUGAAAAAGAAUCUCCCAAGAAAUACAGGGAAGCAGCAGUAUAUUAUAUGUCCAUUUUAUAUAUUUUUGGUCAUGUUCUCCACACAAUUAAACAAUAUUAUAGGGAUUCUAAGCCAUUAGACUCAAUUAAAGGAAGUAUAAUUUCGUAAUACAUAGGGCACUGCAUUCUAAAGCAAAUAAAUAACAUUUUGUUCCAACCCAACCAAAUCUCCAGGAAGCAAACACACAAGCAUAUCUAAAAGGACACAUAUCCGGCGAUGUUUAUUAGUGAUUCCACUAAGAGCAUAAGCAUAUCAAAGUAAGCAACGUCGGACAUACCAUGAACACUGCACAAUUGGGUCUAAGUUACAGCAGAGCAAAGUUUAGCUGUUCCGCUCCAUAAUCCAUGAAGAUUUCAAAAUACAUCUAUCAGUAAAAAAUAGUACCUAUGCCUAUGUUAAUUCUCCUGAACUACCAUUGUAUAAUUCCACGUCUCCGCUCGCCAAACUGCUCGAUCAAAAUAGACAUAAACCACUUUACCACUCUGCGCCUAACAUAUGGACUUCAAAGUUAAGCUAUAAGGGUUAAAAUAUCUGGGGUUGGUGAUUGCAAAUCAGCUGCAUAUACCCACAUAUCUGGGGUUGAGAAAAUUGUAUGUUGAAGUCUAGUAGAUUUGAAGGGAAAAAAUAGAUGGAUAUAUAUUACCUGCAGAUUAUAGUAUUAGUAGUUUAGUACAAUGCCUAUCAAUGGUGAAUUACCGAAAGAUGCAUCCCUUGCAAUGUUUAUAUAAGUAGAACUCUGUCAAUAGAGUGCAGAUGCAGAAUUCCUCCACGAUUUCCAUCCACACCAUGGCAUAUCUUUUUGUAUAUGUAUGUAUAUGUGCCUGCAAUUGUAGUAUUCAUGAGAUCGUGCUAAUCAGUUAGCAUACUGCAUAAAUUAAUUACAGGAAAGACAGGGUAAUUCAAAAGAACAUGCCUGUAAAAUCACAGGAUAUUUUAAUCAAUUAGCUAAAUGCAUAACACAAUAAUGUGUACCCAUCUGCAAAAGAAAGUACAUGCCUGCUUGAAUGAUCAAGAGCAGUGGAGGACAAUUGUGAUCAUCUCCAACAUUGGUGUUUUCUUGAGCAGAAGAUUAUCCUGUUCCAAUCUAUUGUGAUACCAUGAAAAACAAGGGGAAAUUUUUAGUACAAAUCAUUCAGGCUUAAAUAAAGAUUGCUAAUUACUUAGAAAUAAAUUCAGCAAGCAGACCAUCAGUGGAUUAAUGCUGGGCUAGCUGUUUGUGAACAACCAAAUAUCACAUGUCCUAUUUUGACCCCUAAAGCACGAGAUAAUUUUUUUCCUUUUGUCCCCAGACUAUCAUGAAUGCAUCGAAUAGUAUGUUAGCAUUUCAGGCAGAAACCCAAAAAUUAGUUGGCACUAACACAUUGGCGUAAUACAUUCCAACCAUCGAUAACAAAAUUGCUUGACGAACAGGGUGGCGGACUGUUUCUGCAGCAUUCAAUAGAAAACAUCAUGUGCAUGUUCAAAAACAUACCUUGCUGGUAUAUCACAGCCAAAAUCAAAUUGGCCAGUUUGUUAAAAAAAAUCAAUCAGGCCAAAGAAAAAUAAUGAACUAGAAGGGAGAAGAGAUUGAAACUGGACAACGGAAGAAAAAACAAACCGUGCGGAGGAGACCGGUGGCGGCGCGAAGGUGGGCGACAGUGCGACAUGAGCCACCGAGGGCGACGACCUAACGCUGCUCCGGCGGCGGAUUUCGAGGUGGAGAUCAGGUGAGACGCGGAGGAACCGGCGAGUGGGGAGGGGAGCGCGCAACAGCGUGCAGCGCGUAUUCGUGGAGAGAGAGGAGGUUAGGGUUAGGGUUUGGAGAGAGUUCCUCCCGUGAGUGGGGAGAGGAGCGGCAUGCGGCGACGGCGACCUAACGGCGCACGAUGGGGAGUCCAGGAGAGAGGAGGGGGGCGAUGCGUGAGUUGGGGGUUGAAGAUGUGGUGGGGAGGGGUGAGGGCGUGAAG